AUGGCUUCAUCCGGUUCCAGGACGAGGCCGCCGUGCGCGGAUGAAGAGGACAUGCCGAAGACGUGGAUGGAGGCCAGUUUGGACAAGGAGAAGGAGAAGGAUGUGCCCACACCACCAUGUUGGUGUGGUGAUGUUUGCAAGCUGAAGGUGUCCACGGACCGCAAGAAGUCAUGGACAGAAGGUAGAAGGUUUUUCGUGUGUCCCAACUAUGCACAUGAUCGUCGAAGGCCAACUAACGCAUAUGACAUACCACCGUCGCCUCCUCCACUUUGCAAGUACUUCACUUGGUUAGAUCACGAGGUACCAAAAGAUGUCCAAGAGGACCAACAUCGAGAUUACUUACGGAGGCAGCGCCUGUUUGAGGAGUCCUUUGCACGGGGAUUGGAGCGGGAGCGUCGUGAGAAGGAGGCUCGUGAGCGCAAGAAGCGUGAGGAAGAGAGGGCACGCAAAGAGAAGGAGGCUCGCCAAGAAGAGAGGGCAAGAAAACUUGCAAGGGCUCGCGAUGCACAAGAGGAGGACGAGGCACGUGACAAGAAGGGAAAGUGGCCCCGUAGUACUCAGUAG
rnacentral:rRNA from 1 species